GCACUAGUGGUUUAGUGGUAGAAUAGUACCUUCCACGAUACAGACCUGGGUUCAAUUCCCGACUGGUGCA
rnacentral:tRNA from 1 species